rnacentral:rRNA from 1 species
ACACAUGCAAGUCGAGGAGAAACGACAUCGAAAGCUUGCUUUUGAUGGGCGUCGACCGGCGCACGGGUGAGUAACGCGUAUCCAACCUGCCCACCACUUGGGGAUAACCUUGCGAAAGUAAGACUAAUACCCAAUGACGUCUCUAGAAGACAUCUGAAAGAGAUUAAAGAUUUAUCGGUGAUGGAUGGGGAUGCGUCUGAUUAGCUUGUUGGCGGGGUAACGGCCCACCAAGGCGACGAUCAGUAGGGGUUCUGAGAGGAAGGUCCCCCACAUUGGAACUGAGACACGGUCCAAACUCCUACGGGAGGCAGCAGUGAGGAAUAUUGGUCAAUGGACGAGAGUCUGAACCAGCCAAGUAGCGUGCAGGAAGACGGCCCUAUGGGUUGUAAACUGCUUUUAUAAGGGAAUAAAGUGAGAGUCGUGACUCUUUUUGCAUGUACCUUAUGAAUAAGGACCGGCUAAUUCCGUGCCAGCAGCCGCGGUAAUACGGAAGGUCCGGGCGUUAUCCGGAUUUAUUGGGUUUAAAGGGAGCGUAGGCCGGAGAUUAAGCGUGUUGUGAAAUGUAGACGCUCAACGUCUGCACUGCAGCGCGAACUGGUUUCCUUGAGUACGCACAAAGUGGGCGGAAUUCGUGGUGUAGCGGUGAAAUGCUUAGAUAUCACGAAGAACUCCGAUUGCGAAGGCAGCUCACUGGAGCGCAACUGACGCUGAAGCUCGAAAGUGCGGGUAUCGAACAGGAUUA